rnacentral:rRNA from 1 species
AUGAGCUCUCCAUGGACGAGGAGGAGGAAGCAGGAGGCGGAAGCGGGCCAGCAGUAUGUUGCAGCUAGCUGCUACUGCGCUGCAUCUACUACUUUCUACUACUGCGCUGCCUCUACUGGUCUCGAAGCAGCACAGGUGAGGAUGCGUGAUGUUCAGCCUAUGAAGCAAACAAAAGUGUUUUACUGGAUUCAGUUAAGACAUUGUGAUGUUCGGCCGAUGAAGCUCUGUCUAUUAGGACGUGCUAUACUUGCAUGUAGUGUAGUACUAGUUAAUAAUGUCGGUGAUGCUAGUUUCCUCUUCUUAAAAAUUGAAGCAGCAAGAAAUAAUAAUAAAAUGUUCUCAUUCCACAAAUUUGUAAACUAA